AGGAGCCGUGUGAAAUGAAAAUCUCAUGCACGGUUUUGAAUGAGAGAAAAAAGAAUUUUUUUUUCGACUCUAAC
rfam:Marchantia polymorpha subsp. polymorpha scaffold1663, whole genome shotgun sequence.